UUAUAUUAUUGUAUCACCAUGAGUACUGUUUUCAUCCCACGUCUGACCUUCUAUAAAGAUGUCUGUGUGCAGCUGGAAGCCAUUUUUUGCCAUUCACUCAACAGUGAAUGAUUGAAUUUUGAAUUUUUGCUAGACUGCUUUGUGAGACAAAAGCUUCUGCCAAUGUUGCUGUGGGAUUUGUAUGCAAUUUCAGAUUAAAUUGAUGUAGGGAAAAGUCAGCGAGUGAUGCAGAGUGAGAAAAAGAAAGGAGGGAAAGAGAAAGAUCUGUGUGAAUUAAUGAGCACAAAUAUGCUUCCAUGCCAUUAUUAUUCGUUGGUGAAAAAUGUGUAUUCUUACUCCCUGAUGGCCCGAGCAGCUGAGAGAAAGUAACUGACUCUGUUGUUAAGUUUCUGUGAUUGUUCUUUCAGAUUCAGCUGAGUUUCCUCUCAGAGGCUUUUGGCUGGCUGAACACAUUUGUUUAUCUUCGCGCCGUACAGAUGGAGGGUCUCUACUGACGAUGUCACGUCUGGGCUCACACACGCACGCACGCUCAGAAGGACAGUGGGCUGUCCGGUGUAGCAUCAUUAGCUCAGCGGAGACGUGGCGGCCCUGACACAUGUCGAGCGGCGUGCAGCCAACCCACGGACGAGCACGAGUCGCUCCUGCAUAAUUUGAAGUCAUCCAUGGCAGUGCUUUGAGAAUCCUUCCCCGCGUUCCCCAUGACUUGAACGGAGCAUCGCUCAGCGCCGUGAUGGCUCUAUUCAUACUCAGACAGAAGCCCUGCUGGCCUGAGGGUCACAUGAGGACCUCUCCAUGACCCCUGACCACAGUUUGAACCAAGACCCUACAGUUCAUCCAUAUCUGCGGCUGUAGAGAAGGUCACUGCAGAGUUCAAAGACAUAACACGCAGAAUGAGUUGAGUUUUCUCCUGCUCUCCACAGCUGCGCGGCCGUCUACGCAGCGGGCUUCUCUCUCUCUCUCCCUCAUGUGCGCUCAAAAGGUCAAGUAACGAGGGAGAAGAAGUGAAGGAGAAGUAACACGCAACAGCUGAGUGUGUGGGGAACGGGAGAUGAGUGACAGCAUGUUUGCCACUGCAUAAUGAGUGCUGCUCUUUCUGUACUCCGCAACUGCCUCCAUGCCCCCAGGUGCGCUCGGGCCCAGUGACGCUUCACCUUAACUCCAGUCAGACAGCACAUCAGAAGUUCUUCAGUGAGGUGUGGCCGUCCAGAGAUGCCACUUAGUGUUGGCAUCCCCCUGGGGAUGCCUGGAUGUCUUUUCCAAUCAUUUGUAGUGAGUAAAUGAGACGCAGAGCUGACAAUGUGUGAGUUUAUGUGCCCUGUUCUGACACGAGGGUAAAUCGCCAAUGUCUACUGCUGCUCGCUUAAAACGUUGGAUACAUUAUUUUUGUCUUGAUUAAAUUAUGUACGUCCUUGCUAAUCAGGUCUGUGAAACAUCACUGUCCACUACAAACUUGCGUUUUCCCUUUAAUAUCCCUUUGGCUAUUUUUUUUUUAAGUUUAAGAUUAUUAUCUUGUGCAUUUGUGGGCUGCCUUUAUUUUGCUAAUUUUAUUUUAUAGUAUAAUACGUAAAAUAAGCAUUUAGUUUGCACAUUAACCUUAUAAGGCCUACUUUAUCAUAUUUGAUACAGAAAUUUUGAAGGCCUUCAAAUUAACCAACAUCUUUGCUGAUAAAUCUGUUGUACAUAACUGACUACAUGCCUUCUGUCAUCUGAUUAAUAAUUUAUAUAUUUUUAGUAUAAGGUCUAUAAUUUUUUUCAAGCUAAAAAUGUCCCACUUCAUAUUAAUAUCACUCUACAUUUCAUAUCAUUUUUUUAUUUAUUUAUUUGUUUAUUUAUUUAUGCAUGCUGCACAAUCAUUUCUGA